rnacentral:rRNA from 1 species
AUUGAACGCUGGCGGCAUGCCUUACACAUGCAAGUCGAACGGUAACAGGUCUUCGGAUGCUGACGAGUGGCGAACGGGUGAGUAAUACAUCGGAACGUGCCUAGUAGUGGGGGAUAACUACUCGAAAGAGUGGCUAAUACCGCAUGAGAUCUACGGAUGAAAGCAGGGGAUCGCAAGACCUUGUGCUACUAGAGCGGCCGAUGGCAGAUUAGGUAGUUGGUGGGAUAAAAGCUUACCAAGCCGACGAUCUGUAGCUGAUCUGAGAGGACGAUCAGCCACACUGGGACUGGGCAAAGGCCCGACCUCCUACGGGAGGCAGCAGUGGGGGAUUUUGGACAAUGGGCGCAAGCCUGAUCCAGCAAUGCCGCGUGCAGGAUGAAGGCCUUCGGGUUGUAAACUGCUUUUGUACGGAACGAAAAGCCCUGGGUUAAUACCCUGGGGUCAUGACGGUACCGUAAGAAUAAGCACCGGCUAACUACGUGCCAGCCGCCGCAGUAACAC